UGGGGAAUCUUGCGCAAUGGGGGAAACCCUGACGCAGCGACGCCGCGUGCGGGAUGAAGGCCUUCGGGUUGUAAACCGCUUUCAGCAGGGACGAGGCCUUAUGGUGACGGUACCUGCAGAAGAAGCUCCGGCUAAAUACGUGCCAGCAGCCGCGGUAAUACGUAUGGAGCAAGCGUUAUCCGGAUUCAUUGGGCGUAAAGCGCUCGUAGGCGGUCUGUUAGUUCGGCAAGUUAAAUCCGGGGGCUCAACCCCCGUCCGCUUCCGAUACCGGCAGACUUGAGUUUAGUAGGGGAAGGUGGAAUUCCUAGUGUAGCGGUGGAAUGCGCAGAUAUUAGGAAGAACACCGGUGGCGAAGGCGGCCUUCUGGGCCAUAACUGACGCUGAGGAGCGAAAGCUAGGGGAGCGAACAGG
rnacentral:rRNA from 1 species